AAUGCUGAGUUAUCUAUUCAAAAAGCUAAACAAAAUAUCCCUACUGCAUCGUAUCAAUAAUUUAGGCAUUCAAGAUUAUUGUCUGUUAAAUAAUCUUUUGACUGAAAUUUUAUAAGGUGUAAGCACGCUGUAAAGAGACAAAUGCAUGAGAAUGAAGUUUAUUGCAUAUGACCCUAACUCUGGUGAGAAACUCAGCUUAAAAGAGCAUAUUCAUCACAUGGAUAAAUACACAACUUAUGUUUUUUUUAGUGAUGAAAAAGACAAUAUGGUUUUCAAUCCACAGAAAAAACAGAUAUUUGAAAUCAGUCAAUAUACUUCUAAUAUGAUGGUUGAAAUUUCAAGAAAGUUAUACUACUUGAUUGGUGAAUAUUAGGUCAUUUUGAUCAACCC
rnacentral:rRNA from 1 species